rnacentral:rRNA from 1 species
UCCGUAGGUGAACCUGCGGAAGGAUCAUUAUCGUGGGGCUUCGGCCCCGUCGAGAUAGCACCCUUGCCCUUAUGAGUACCUUGGUUUCCUCCCCCGACCAUCGGGGAGUGGGAUGACCUCGUUCGUUUCCCCGGAAGGCAACCAUGCCCCCGGGGACCAGAAGAAACACGCUGCAAUCACCUGUAACCGUCUGAUAAAGCAAGCAAAAGUCAAAACUUUCAACAACGGAUCUCUUGGUUCUGGCAUCGAUGAAGAACGCAGCGAAAUGCGAUAAGUAGUGUGAAUUGCAGAAUUCAGUGAAUCAUCGAAUCUUUGAACGCACAUUGCGCCCUUUGGUAUUCCUUAGGGCAUGCCUGUCCGAGCGUCAUCUAACCCUUCAAGCCCCGCUUGGUGUUGGGUGCCUGUCCCGCCCCCGCGCGUGGACUCACCUCAAAUCCAUUGGCGGCCCCGCGUCGGCCACGAGCGCAGCAGAAACGCGAACUCGUGGGCCCGUCCGGGCGGUUCCCAGAAGCUACACCCACCAUGUUUGACCUCGGAUCAGGUAGGGAUACCCGCUGAACUUAAGCAUAUCAAUAAGCGGAGGGAAGUCGGACUGGCCAAGGGGCACACCAGGGGGGGGGGAUA